GAUGAACGCUGGCGGCGUGCCUAAUACAUGCAAGUCGAGCGAACAGACGAGGCGCUUAUUCCUCUCACGUUAGCGGCGGACGGGUGAGUAACGCGUGGAUACCCUACCUAUAAGUCUGGGAUAACUUCGGGAAACGGGAGCUAAUACCGGAUAACAUCUUGAACCACAUUGUUCAACAGUGAAAGACGGUCUUGCUGUAUGUAAUAGCGGGUUCCGAGUGGCUUUGGCGAGUUGUUAAGGAAACGGGCUACCAAGGCAACGAGGCGUAGCCGACGUAAGAGGGUGGUAGGCCACACUGGAACGGGGACAGGGUCAAGACUCCUAAGGGAGGCAGCAGAAGGGAAUCUUAGGCAGUGGGGGAAAGCAUGACGGAGCAAGCGGGAGUGAGUGAAAAAGUUGUUGGGUUCGUAAAACCCUGUUAUUGGGGAAGAACAGAUGUAGAAGGAAAUGUGCACGUAGUGACGGUACCGAAUCAGAAAGCAACGGCUAACUACGUG
rnacentral:rRNA from 1 species